rnacentral:rRNA from 1 species
CCUACGGGAGGCUGCAGUGGGGAAUAUUGGACAAUGGGCGAAAGCCUGAUCCAGCCAUGCCGCGUGUGUGAAGAAGGCCUUCGGGUUGUAAGGCACUUUCAGUGGGGAAGAAAGCCUUGGGGCUAAUACCCUCGAGGAAGGACAUCACCCACAGAAGAAGCACCGGCUAACUCCGUGCCAGCAGCCGCGGUAAUACGGAGGGUGCGAGCGUUAAUCGGAAUUACUGGGCGUAAAGCGCGCGUAGGCGGUCUGAUAAGCCGGUUGUGAAAGCCCCGGGCUCAACCUGGGAACGGCAUCCGGAACUGGCAGGCUAGAGUGCAGGAGAGGAAGGUAGAAUUCCCGGUGUAGCGGUGAAAUGCGUAGAGAUCGGGAGGAAUACCAGUGGCGAAGGCGGCCUUCUGGACUGACACUGACGCUGAGGUGCGAAAGCGUGGGUAGCAAACAGGAUUAGAUACCCCGGUAGUC